AGGGGAGGUGAUGAAAAAAAAAAAGUGCCUGAAAUGGAAAUAUGUCACCCUGACCUGGAGCUUUUCUGCAUUUUGUAAUGCACUAGAAAUACUGGCAUCAUUAGCAUUAAAUCUCUCUGAAAAUGAUCUAAAAAUGCAACUAAUCAUUGAAGGUUUUACUGCUUCUGGGCUUCGUAAUCUAAAAAUGCUCUUCAAAAAAGUCCCUCUCCCUGACUUUUGUUUUUCUUUUUUUUUUUAAAGAAAGGAAGUCUUUCGUCUUGCUGAGCGAGUGCUGACUGAAAGAAGCGAGUGUGUGUGUGUGUGUGUGACUGUGCGCACCAGUGUCUCUCACACAGUCUGUGCGCAGAGCAGAGUACUCGGAUCGCGCUCCACCAGCAGCCUCUCGUUGCUCUCAUUUGAGCACGCGGCUCGCGGCACACACACACGCACUUUCUCUCUCUCCUUCUCCUCUUUUUCUCCUGCAUUCGGACUCCAACUGAGAGAGGAUUUAACACACGCGGCUAGUUGUGGAGGACAUCCUGAGCCCCUAAAAACACGAGAUGUUUCUCCUAGCUGCUCCCGCAGACAGGAAUCCGCUCACAGAGACGAGAGCCACGCUCUCCCCUAGGAGAGGAGUACAAAGGCCAGUCUGAUGCAAAACCAAGUCCAUCUGCUGUUGCCACAUGGAGAUUGAAAAGUGAGGGGAGCAUUCACGCAGACACCGCUGGAACAUGAGCGUGGAACCCACUGUUGGUAAACGGGAGAGACGUGAACGAGCAGAUUAUAAAUACAAAAGACUGACGGCUUUGGACCGCAAGGUCAAUGAGGACAAACAAUUCCAGCAGCGGCUCUCGAGCGCAUGCAGAAGAAAGUGUCGGGUGAUGGGGGAUGGACUCGUGUGGUGGCAGAGCUGGUGUCUCCGAGCGCUGGCAUAAUUUCCAUGGCAGCCCUUCUUACUAUUAACUUUCAAUUAAAGCAUACACAAAAAUGCCCUGCCCCAAGCCUCUGGAAUGUGUCAAGAGGGGGAAACCAUGUCUUUUUGGAGCCACAACACCACUGAGAUCAUUCAUAGUGACAAAAAUCACACCACUGAACAUCUAAGCCCUGCUUUUAUUUCACAAUCACACCAGUGAGAACACCAAAACCACAAAUGAAACUCAUGCAUGCUAAACAUUAGUGAUUAAUGGGAUAUGAUGUGAACCAUUAUGUCCCUUGAUGGAUUAACAGAGGUGUUACCUCCCCCUUGUGUCAGUUUUUCUAAUAAAAAAAAUAUUUUUACAAUUUUUGGAUGAAUUUUAGUAACACUGUAUUAAACAAGGUGCACAAAGUUAAUUUGCAGCCAUUUAAUUUUACUACUCAUAAAAUUGGCUAAAAAAGUCUGAGAUCUCUGAGUAAAAUAUUAAUAAUUUUUUGAUAAAUUAUAACUUGUUGGAAAAAAUAAAUAAAAUACCUUACUACCACAU